UACGGAGGGUGCAAACGUUGCUCGGAAUCAUUGGGCGUAAAGCGAGCGUAGGCGGUCUUAUAAGUCGGAUGUGAAAGCCCUCGGCCUCAACCGAGGAAGUGCACCCGAAACUGCAAGACUUGAGUGUCGGAGAGGGUGACGGAAUUCCCGGUGUAGAGGUGAAAUUCGUAGAUAUCGGGAGGAACAUCAGUGGCGAAGGCGGUCACCUGGACGAUAACUGACGCUGAGGCUCGAAGCGUGGGAGCAAAC
rnacentral:rRNA from 1 species